GAUGAACGCUGGCGGCGUGCUUAACACAUGCAAGUCGAACGAAGCACUUUAUUUUAUUUCCUUCGGGACUGAUUAUUUUGUGACUGAGUGGCGGACGGGUGAGUAACGCGUGGGUAACCUGCCUUGUACAGGGGGAUAAUAGCUGGAAACGGCUGCUAAUACCGCAUAAGCGCCCUGCAUCGCAUGAUUCAGUGUGAAAAACUCCGGUGGUAUAAGAUGGACCCGCGUUGCAUUAGCUAGUUGGUGAGGUAACGGCCCACCAAGGCGACGAUCCAUAGCCUAGAAGAGAGGCUGAGCGGAGACACUGAGACUGAGCAGCGGCCGAGACUCUUGCGGGAAGCAGCAGUGGGGAAUACUGCACAAUGGGCGGAAGGCUGAUGGAGCUACGACGGGAGAGCGAAGAAGUAUGGCAGUAUGGAAAGUUAUAUCAUCACUGAAUAUAUUGACGUUACCAGACUAAGAAGCACCGGCUAACUACGUG
rnacentral:rRNA from 1 species